CAGUUCGGACUGUAGGCUGCAACUCGCCUACACGAAGCUGGAAUCGCUAGUAAUCGCGGAUCAGCACGCCGCGGUGAAUACGUUCCCGGGCCUUGUACACACCGCCCGUCACACCAUGAGAGUCUGUAACACCCAAAGCCGGUGGGAUAACCUUUAUAGGAGUCAGCCGUCAAAGGUAGGACAGAUGAUUAGGGUGAAGUCGUAACAAGGUAGC
rnacentral:rRNA from 1 species